rnacentral:lncRNA from 1 species
CCUUGAACAGCUCCUGGUCUCCAUUGUCAAAGUUCCCUUGAUUUCUGCUGAAGCUCCAAGUUUCAGAAAGGACAUAGAAGAGAGGGUUAAGAAAUUAUGUGCCCCACUGAACCAGUCCCCUUGAAGAACACAACCAAACAUGCCUGCUUAUACUUUAUGGUCACUGCCAGUUGCUGCAGUCUGGCUGGGCACAAUUCAGGAGCCACUUAUCAAGCAGAAAUGAACUUUAUUUUUAGAACACACGCUGCACCACAGGAGAGCUCUUCAGGAAUUCCCUUAGAGCCCAACUGCCACCACCGGCUUCCCAUGAGCCUCUCAACCCCCCACUCCUCCUGCUCUUGAGGCCGAUUGGCUGGGUCGUGUGGGCGGAGCCAAAAGAGUCCCCCAAUGAGCAGCUCUGUGGUCUGAAAGGGCAGGGAAACAGCUCGAUGAGCAUCACCGCAGAGGAGCCAAUCAGCUGGCAGCUGGAAGUUUGCUGGGGCCUCUGUGAACCAAUCAGCUGGAAGUUUGCUGGGGCCCCUUCGGCUGUGGCUCUCAACAGCCAGUUGCCAAGGAAGCUGGGAAAUCCAGUCUUUUUUGGUUGUAUGAUUUCUACCUCAAAACUGGUGUGCUGUUAGUGACAAAGGAGAGAAUGGAUAUUGGGGAGGCUGCCGGUGGCCUCUGACAAAGAACAAACCUUAGAACUCACCUUUGCUCCCCUCAUUGACCUAGACCCAGAUAUGCCCCAUGCACUUGGUCAACUUAUAGUUUACACAUGUCAAAAUCUACUAAAUUUAUUGUUUAAGUGGAAAGAAUCUUCCUUACUCAUGAAAUAUCUUUUUUUUCCCCCAAAUGUUUUCAAUGCAAUUUAAAAAAUUCAGUACUGGGGAUUGAAUCCAGGGAUCCUCUACUAUCCUCAGCCCUUUUUAUUUUUUUAUUUUGAGACAGGGUCUCACUAAGUUUCUGAGGUUGGCCUCUGAUUCAUGUUCUUCCUACUUCAGCCUCCUGAGUCCCUGGGAAUACAGGCAUGUAUCACCGUACCUGGCUUCAAUAGAGUUUUAAAUAAUGGUUUGUACAAAAGGAUCUUGC